rnacentral:rRNA from 1 species
GAGACUCUCUUUGAAGAUAUAAUUUAUAAGGAGUUGGGCCUGCUCGGUGAUUAAUAUUUAACAGCUGCGGUAUUAUAACUGUACUAAGGUAGCAUAAUAAUUUGCUCUAUAAAUUGGGGCUAGAAUGAAUGGUUUGACGAGAAUUGGACUGUCUCUAUUUUAUUUAUUAGAAAUUAAUUUUUAUAGUGAGAAGGCUUGAAUGAUUUAAAGGGACGAAAAGACCCUAUUGAGCUUUAUAUAUUAAUAUAUAAAUUUAAUUGGUGAUUUAUAAAAAGUUUAUUAAUAUUAAUUUUGGUUGGGGUGAUCAAGGAAUAAAAGGUAAAUUGUAUUUUAGAUAACUUCCUUAGAAAAAUAAUUGAUGGAGUAAUAAACCAAGAUUUUUGCUUAUAAGAUAAGUUACCAUAGGGAUAACAGCGUAAUUUUUUUUGAGAGUUCAUAUUGAAAAAAGAGAUUGCGACCUCGAUGUUGGAUUAAAAUUAACCUUUUGGUGUAGAGGCUUUAUUAGGUAAAUCUGUUCGAUUUUUAAAAUUUU